rnacentral:rRNA from 1 species
UGAACGCUGGCGGCGUGCCUAACACAUGCAAGUCGAACGGAGUCCAGCCUUUAAGACCUUCGGGUCAAAGAGGGGAAGACUGAGUGGCAGACGGGUGAGUAACACGUGGGCAACCUGGCUCAUAGAGGGGGAUAACAGAGAGAAAUUUCUGCUAAUACCGCAUAAGCACACACUGCCGCAUGGCAGAGGGUGAAAAGAGAAUCGCUAUGAGAUGGACCCGCGUCUGAUUAGCCAGUUGGCAGGGUAAGAGCCUACCAAAGCGACGAUCAGUAGCCGAUCUGAGAGGAUGAACGGCCACAUUGGGACUGAGACACGGCCCAAACUCCUACGGGAGGCAGCAGUGGGGGAUAUUGCACAAUGGGGGGAACCCUGAUGCAGCGACGCCGCGUGAGUGAAGAAGUAUUUCGGUAUGUAAAGCUCUAUCAGCAGGGAAGAUAAUGACAGUACCUGAAUAAGAAGCCCCGGCUAACUACGUG